rnacentral:rRNA from 1 species
UACAGAGGUCUCAAGCGUUGUUCGGAUUCAUUGGGCGUAAAGGGUGUGUAGGUGGCGCCGUAAGUCGGGUGUGAAAUUUCGGAGCUUAACUCCGAAACUGCAUUCGAUACUGCGGUGCUUGAGGACUGGAGAGGAGACUGGAAUUCGAUGGUGUAGCAGUGAAAUGCGUAGAGAUCAUGAGGAAGACCAGUGGCGAAGGCGGGUCGUCUGGGCCAUUGACUGACGCUGAGGAGCGAAAGCGUGGGGAGCAAACAGG